UGGGGAAUCUUGGACAAUGGGCGCAAGCCUGAUCCAGCCAUGCCGCGUGAGUGAAGAAGGCCUUCGGGUUGUAAAGCUCUUUCAGACGGAAAGAAACGGUUACGGCUAAUACCCGUGACUAAUGACGGUACCGUAAGAAGAAGCGCCGGCUAACUACGUGCCAGCAGCCGCGGUAACACGAACCGGACAAACGUUAUUCGGAAUUACUGGGCUUAAAGGGUGCGUAGGCGGUGCGGUAAGUGCGGUGUGAAAUCCCACGGCUCAACCGUGGAAUUGCGCUGCAUACUGCCGUGCUAGAGGGAGACAGGGGUAAGCGGAACUGAUGGUGGAGCGGUGAAAUGCGUUGAUAUCAUCAGGAACACCGGUGGCGAAAGCGGCUUACUGGGUCUCUUCUGACGCUGAGGCACGAAAGCUAGGGUAGCGAACGGGAUUAGAUACCCCGGUAGUCCCUGAGCGGGCUGGCAAGGCGCAU
rnacentral:rRNA from 1 species